rnacentral:rRNA from 1 species
CCUACGGGUGGCAGCAGUGAGGAAUAUUGGUCAAUGGCCGGAAGGCUGAACCAGCCAUGCCGCGUGAAGGUCGGUGCCCUAUGGGCGUUAAACUUCUUUUGUGCGGGAGCAAUAAUGGUCACGUGUGGCCAGACGAGAGUACCGUACGAAUAAGCAACGGCUAACUCAGUGCAAGCAGCCGCGGGAAUAGGGGGGAUGCAAGCGUUAUCCGUAUUUAUUGGGUUUUAAGGGUGCGUAAGCUGUGAGGUAAGUCAGCGGUGAAAUGCCCCCGCUUAACGGGGUGAAGUGCCAUUGAUACUGGCUUGCUGGAGUGCGGAUGCGGUGGGAGGAAUGUGUGGUGUAGCGGUGAAAUGCGUAGAUAUCACACAGAACACCGAUUGCGAAGGCAUCUCACGAAUCCGCGAUUGACGCUGAUGCACGAAAGCGUGGGUAUCAAACAGGAUUAGAUACCCUAGUAGUC